AAGAAUGAUCUUUUACCGACACAAUCCAGUUUUUUUUUCUUAACACACUUCCUAUAUACCUGCCAAAGUGGUCCAGAUUUUUAUUUGAUGCCAAAAACUCCAUUUUAAAGGGGGAGAAGGUAGGGUGAUUAUAACAAACCAUGAUUUCACAACUAGGAAAUCAUCAGCGGAUAAGCAUUUUAAAAGGAGGAAAGAACCCACUACUGACUCAUCCAAGUCAAUUUUUCUGCAGGU